rnacentral:tRNA from 1 species
GGGUAUAGCUCAGUUGGUAGAGCAGCGGUCUCCAAAACCGCGAGCCGAGGGUUCAAGUCCUUCUGCCC